UGAACAUUGACUUUGACAGCUGUCUGUCAAAAAGUUUGCUUUUGCUGUUUUAAUUUUAAAAAUUAAAAUUUAAUAAAACAAAGCUCUAAACAAAAACAAACAAAAAAAAUCAAAGAAUUGUUCCUGUUUUGUCGAUUGUCAUGUUCCUCUAGCUGUGUUAGUUUUAUACCUUAAACAGUGGUUACCUAUGAUGCCCAAGAUGACGAAGAGAGAUCGCUGCCACACAUCUUCCAUGGUUUCCAUUCCAAACUACCACCAGGAAUUCUAAAACAUGGUUUGCCCACUGUGAAGGAAGUUGCAUCAGCCAUAACAACACAACUUGAACACAAAAAAGAACAUGAAGAGAAGAAAGAGAAUGAUCAUCUUGUCGGGGGACUUUGAAAGGCUUGUUCUACACGCUGGACGUGUCAUCGAAAGGGCUCUAUCUAAGAAUGUCGACAUCUACACAGAUUACAUUGGAGGUGUUGGUGAUUAUGAAGAGUCAAACGAUGAGAGGACACAUGCUAGGUUGUCAUUGAAUCGAGCUUUCUACGAAGACCGAUGGUCUAAGAAUCGAUGCAUCACUUCAAUGGAUUAGUCACCACAUUUUCCUGAACUGGUUGUUGCUUUGUAUCACAAUAAUGAGGAGAGUCCCAAUGAACCAGAUGGUGUUGUAAUGGUCCGGAACACAAAAUAUAAAAAAACAAACACCCGAAGAUGUAUUCCAUUGUCAGAGUGCCAACAUGCUUUCCUAAAUUAAAUCAAAAUCUUAUACUCGGUGGAACGUAUUUCGCUCAGAUUGUCCUUUGGGAUAAUCGAGUGCAAAAGCACACCCCCAUCCAGAGGACACCACUAAGUGCAACUGCACAUAUACGCAUCCAGUGUACUGUUUGCAAAUGGUUGGCACACAGAAUGCACACAAUUUGAUAUCGAUCUCAUCCCAGGCAAGCUCUUGAAGUUUGGUUAAGGUAGUUGUUGGAGGAGGAUCAGGAUUAAAUAAAAAUAUUAAACCACCUGAUGUAACUAAAAAAACUUCGCCGGCAAGAGUGCUGUUUUGGGGUGUAAAAUCAAAAUCUAUAACGCAGUUUUUUUCUCAGAUGUGAAUUUUUAUUAAAUUUUUGUU